rnacentral:rRNA from 1 species
UCCCCUAGUAACGGCGAGUGAAGAGGGAAAAGCUCAAAUUUUAAAUCUAUCUGGUUCUUCCCAGGUCGAGUUGUAAUUUGAAGAAGCGAUAUCGGUGUUGAGGUCUGGUUUAAGUUCUUUGGAACAAGACAUCAUGGAGGGUGAGAAUCCCGUGCAUGAUCAGACCAAGAUACUUUGUAUUCGCUUUCCAAGAGUCGAGUUGUUUGGGAAUGCAGCUCAAAAUGGGUGGUAGACUUCACCUAAAGCUAAAUAUCAGCGAGAGACCGAUAGCGAACAAGUACUGUGAAGGAAAGAUGAAAAGAACUUUGAAAAGAGAGUUAAAUAGUACGUGAAAUUGUUGAAAGGGAAACGAUUGAAGUCAGUCAUGCCAGUGAAAAUUCAGUUUGGCGGGUUUCUAGUUCGGAGUAGAAGCAGGGUCAAACCGUCUCUCUUUUGGACUUGGGAUUUGUCAGAUGCAUUUUUUCUCUUGCAGGUCAGCGUCGGUUUCGGGAGUUGUAAAAUACUUGGGGUAAAGUAGCUCUGCUUCGGGAGAGUGUUAUAGACCUUGGAGGAUGCAGCUCGCGGGAUCGAGGAUUGCAGCAAAUGCCUU